ACGCUGGCGGCAGGCCUAACACAUGCAAGUCGAGCGGUAGAGAGAAGCUUGCUUCUCUUGAGAGCGGCGGACGGGUGAGUAAUGCCUAGGAAUCUGCCUGGUAGUGGGGGAUAACGUUCGGAAACGGACGCUAAUACCGCAUACGUCCUACGGGAGGAAGCAGGGGACCUUCGGGCCCUUGCGCUAUCAGAUGAGCCUAGGUCGGAUUAGCUAGUUGGUGAGGUAAUGGCUCACCAAGGCGACGAUCCGUAACUGGUCUGAGAGGAUGAUCAGUCACACUGGAACUGAGACACGGUCCAGACUCCUACGGGAGGCAGCAGUGGGGAAUAUUGGACAAUGGGCGAAAGCCUGAUCCAGCCAUGCCGCGUGUGUGAAGAAGGUCUUCGGAUUGUAAAGCACUUUAAGUUGGGAGGAAGGGCAGUUACCUAAUACGUGAUUGUUUUGACGUUACCGACAGAAUAAGCACCGGCUAACUCUGUGCCAGCAGCCGCGGUAAUACAGAGGGUGCAAGCGUUAAUCGGAAUUACUGGGCGUAAAGCGCGCGUAGGUGGUUAGUUAAGUUGGAUGUGAAAUCCCCGGGCUCAACCUGGGAACUGCAUUCAAAACUGACUGACUAGAGUAUGGUAGAGGGUGGUGGAAUUUCCUGUGUAGCGGUGAAAUGCGUAGAUAUAGGAAGGAACACCUGUGGCGAAGGCGACCACCUGGACUGAUACUGACACUGAGGUGCGAAAGCGUGGGGAGCAAAC
rnacentral:rRNA from 1 species